GAGAUCUGAUGGGUUUAUCAGGGGUUUCCACUUUUGCUUUCUCCUCAUUUUUCUCUUGCCGCCACCACGAAAGAAGUGCCUUUUGCCUCCCGUCAUGAUUCUGAGGCCUCCCCAGCCAUGUGGAACUGUUUGAGGCACAGAGCUGUAUAUACAAUAACAGUGAAAUUGAUCCCACUACUAAUUAUGACAAAAAUGAUCUUCCACGUAAACAGGUGGUGAAGCUCCUUAUGGUCCUGACCCUACAGUUCCUGUCCCAUGACCAGGGCCAGAUCACCAAGGAGCUGCAGCAGUUCGUCGUCAGUGGCAGCCCCAUGCGAGCACCCGAGGAAGGGCUGUGACCGUCUAUGACAAGCCAGCAUCUUUCUUUCAAGAGACCUCUGGACCUGCAGCACCAACUCUUCAUGAAGCUGGGCGGCACGCACUCUCCGUUCAGGGCCUGAACCUGAGGACCCAGACACGGAGCGGUCGGCCUUCAUGGAGCGGGAUGCUGGGAGCGGGCUGGUGAUGCGCCUCCGCGAGCGGCCAGCCCUGCUGGUCAGCAGCACAGGCUGGACAGAGGACGAAGACUUCUCCAUCUGCUGGCAGCUUUAGAAAGUAGGGUCGGUGGAUCUGGGUGUCUGUCUGCACACGUCCUGCAGUGGCCUGGACCUGCCCAUGAAGGUGGUGGACAUGUUCGGGUGCUGUUUGCCUGUGUGUGCCGUGAACUUCAAGUGGCAGGAGCAGAACCCGAAUCUUUCUGGGGAUAGCUUCACAGAUCCACCGCUGAGGAGGAAACAGUGCAGAGCGAGCUGCCCACAGUGAGGCCCUGCUCCUGGUUUACAUGAGCUGGUGAAACAUGAAGAAAAUGGCCUGGUCUUUGAGGACUCAGAGGAACUGGCAGCUCAGCUGCAGGUGCUUUUCUCAAACUUUCCUGAUCCUGCGGGCAAGCUAAACCAGUUCCGGAAGAACCUGCGGGAGUCGCAGCAGCUCCGAUGGGAUUAGAGCUGGGUGCAGACUGUGCUCCCUUUGGUUAUGGACACAUAACUCCUGGGCCAGAGGCUAAAACCCCGGGACCCCUGCUGUCCUUCCCACAGCUUCUUCUCAGAGUCUCAGGGCAAAUCCUUUCGAGCAGCGCCUCCCAGUGGCCAGAAGCUGAAAUGAUGGCAGUAGUGCCACCUGGUGAAUGAAUUGGUUCUGUGACCCGGGAA
rnacentral:lncRNA from 1 species